rnacentral:rRNA from 1 species
AACGAACGCUGGCGGCAGGCUUAACACAUGCAAGUCGAACGCCCCGCAAGGGGAGUGGCAGACGGGUGAGUAACGCGUGGGAACAUACCCUUUCCUGCGGAAUAGCUCUGGGAAACUGGAAUUAAUACCGCAUACGCCCUACGGGGGAAAGAUUUAUCGGGGAAGGAUUGGCCCGCGUUGGAUUAGCAAGUUGGUGGGGUAAAGGCCUACCAAGGCGACGAUCCAUAGCUGGUCUGAGAGGAUGAUCAGCCACAUUGGGACUGAGACACGGCCCAAACUCCUACGGGAGGCAGCAGUGGGGAAUAUUGGACAAUGGGCGCAAGCCUGAUCCAGCCAUGCCGCGUGAGUGAUGAAGGCCUUAGGGUUGUAGAGCUCUUUCACCGAUGAAGAUAAUGACGGUAGUCGGAGAAGAAGCCCCGGCUAACUUCGUGCCAGCCGCCGCCGUAAAAC